rnacentral:rRNA from 1 species
ACUCCUACGGGAGGCAGCAGUGAGGAAUAUUGGACAAUGGAGGCAACUCUGAUCCAGCCAUGCCGCGUGUAGGAAGACUGCCCUAUGGGUUGUAAACUACUUUUAUAGAGGAAGAAAUCGCAAUACGUGUAUUGCUCUGACGGUACUCUACGAAUAAGGAUCGGCUAACUCCGUGCCAGCAGCCGCGGUAAUACGGAGGAUCCAAGCGUUAUCCGGAAUCAUUGGGUUUAAAGGGUCCGUAGGCGGGCGUAUAAGUCAGUGGUGAAAGUUUGCGGCUCAACCGUAAAAUUGCCAUUGAUACUGUAUGUCUUGAAUAAUUGUGAAGUGGUUAGAAUAUGUAGUGUAGCGGUGAAAUGCAUAGAUAUUACAUAGAAUACCGAUUGCGAAGGCAGAUCACUAACAAUUAUUGACGCUAAAGGGACGAAAGCGUGGGUAGCGAACAGGAUUAGAUACCCCUGGUAGACUGUCA